rnacentral:rRNA from 1 species
CACGUAGGGUGCGAGCGUUGUCCGGAAUUAUUGGGCGUAAAGAGCUCGUAGGCGGUGUGUCGCGUCGGCCGUGAAAACCUGCAGCUUAACUGUGGGCUUGCGGUCGAUACGGGCAUCACUGGAGUUCGGCAGGGGAGACUGGAAUUCCUGGUGUAGCGGUGAAAUGCGCAGAUAUCAGGAAGAACACCCGUGGCGAAAGCGGCUCUCUGGAACGGUACUGACGCUGAGGCGCGAAAGCGUGGGGAGCAAACAGG